CCUACGGGGUGCAGCAGUGAGGAAUAUUGGUCAAUGGGCGCGAGCCUGAACCAGCCAAGUAGCGUGAAGGAUGACUGCCCUACGGGUUGUAAACUUCUUUUAUAAAGGAAUAAAGUGAUGCACGUGUGCCUUUUUGUAUGUACUGUAUGAAUAAGGAUCGGCUAACUCCGUGCCAGCAGCCGCGGUAAUACGGAGGAUCCGAGCGUUAUCCGGAUUUAUUGGGUUUAAAGGGAGCGUAGAUGGUUUGUUAAGUCAGUUGUGAAAGUUUGCGGCUCAACCGUAAAAUGGCAAUUGAUACUGGCAGCCUUGAGUACAGUUGAGGUAGGCGGAAUUCGUGGUGUAGCGGUGAAAUGCUUAGAUAUCACGAAGAACUCCGAUUGCGAAGGCAGCUUACUAAACUGCCACUGACAUUGAUGCUCGAAAGUGUGGGUAUCAAACAGGAUUAGAUACCCCAGUAGUC
rnacentral:rRNA from 1 species